GACGAACGCUGGCGGCGUGCUUAACACAUGCAAGUCGAACGGAAAGGCCCUGCUUUUGUGGGGUGCUCGAGUGGCGAACGGGUGAGUAACACGUGAGUAACCUGCCCUUGACUUUGGGAUAACUUCAGGAAACUGGGGCUAAUACCGGAUAGGAGCUCCUGCUGCAUGGUGGGGGUUGGAAAGUUUCGGCGGUUGGGGAUGGACUCGCGGCUUAUCAGCUUGUUGGUGGGGUAGUGGCUUACCAAGGCUUUGACGGGUAGCCGGCCUGAGAGGGUGACCGGCCACAUUGGGACUGAGGUACGGCGCAGACUCCUACGGGAGGCAGCAGUGGGGAAUAUUGCACAAUGGGCGGAAGCCUGAUGCAGCAACGCCGCGUGCGUGAUGACGGCCUUCGGGUUGUAAACCGCUUUCGCCUGUGACGAAGCGUGAGUGACGGUAAUGGGUAAAGAAGCACCGGCUAACUACGUG
rnacentral:rRNA from 1 species